ACUGCCCUUAGAGGCAUUGCAGGUGUGGCUUCUGUGUCACAUGUGUGUCAGUAGGUGGCAGAGAGGAGAGAGGCUAAGUCUAUGCUCAGUGUUCUAACCUGUGAACAUUUGAGUGAUUAGUAUCCUAACACU